rnacentral:tRNA from 1 species
GGGAAUGAAGUUUAGUGGUAGAGUGCUUGUCUAUAAAACAUGAAGCCUCAGGUUUGAUUCCUCAGUACCA